rnacentral:rRNA from 1 species
CCUAACACAUGCAAGUCGAACGGUAACAGGAAGAAGCUUGCUUCUUUGCUGACGAGUGGCGGACGGGUGAGUAAUGUCUGGGAAACUGCCUGAUGGAGGGGGAUAACUACUGGAAACGGUAGCUAAUACCGCAUAACGUCGCAAGACCAAAGAGGGGGACCUUCGGGCCUCUUGCCAUCAGAUGUGCCCAGAUGGGAUUAGCUAGUAGGUGGGGUAACGGCUCACCUAGGCGACGAUCCCUAGCUGGUCUGAGAGGAUGACCAGCCACACUGGAACUGAGACACGGUCCAGACUCCUACGGGAGGCAGCAGUGGGGAAUAUUGCACAAUGGGCGCAAGCCUGAUGCAGCCAUGCCGCGUGUAUGAAGAAGGCCUUCGGGUUGUAAAGUACUUUCAGCGGGGAGGAAGGGAGUAAAGUUAAUACCUUUGCUCAUUGACGUUACC